rnacentral:rRNA from 1 species
GUCUCAGGCCGUAUCAGCGUGAAGGCGCCCGAUCUCGUCUGAUCUCGGAAGCUAAGCAGGGUCGGGCCUGGUUAGGAUCUUGGAUGGGAGACCACCUGGGAAUCCCGGGUGCUCGAGGCU